AUUCUACAAAUUUCGAUAAAAUAAUUCUUUAAAUAAUUCGUAAUAAAUACAAAAAAUAAUCAAAAAGAUUUUGCUUUCAAAGUUUUACUGAAUACAUAAUGAUUCAAGAAAAAUAUUACCUAAUUAUCUUAAGAAAUAUGUUACAAAAUUUUAUAUUGAAUACUACAGGUAUAACAAAAAAUCACGUGUAUGGUUUAUUUCAACACAAUAAUAUUUAACUUACUUCAUAGUUGAUUUAUACAUUUGUAAUAUACAGCUGUCUAAAUACCCUGUUUUUCUUAUAGACAUACUAUGGAAGUAUUUCGAAGUCGUACAAGGUCUAUCAGGAUAUUGUCUUACAGGAUGUAACUAAUAAAAUAUGCAUGCCCACGUAUUUCAAAAAAAGCAAAGACGAAUUUGAUUGGAUAAAUAUAUGUGGGUGGAAAAAUAUAUUCUGUAUAAAAGAGGGAAAUUUCUAGUACUUCAUUAUGUGAAGGGAUACUGGCGAGGUAAGAUUUUCUCUCUUUAACGAAUUAAAUUAUGACACGAAGGUAAUAGUUACAUCAACAAAAAGGUGGACAUUGUCAAAUUAGAUGACACCUAAUUGAUAUUACAUAUAUCAUAUUGUCUUUUUAAAUACUAAUAUUUUAACGUAGAUUUAUUUAAUAUAUUAUGUAAAAUAUUAUUCUUAGUAAUUUUACAAUUAAAGCAAAAUAUAAACUUAUUGACAGCUUUAGAGUGACUGCAUAACCUCAGAUUUAAAACUUUUCUCACGUAACGGAUCAACGUUCUAAUAUGAUGACAAUGUUACCCGAUAUCAAUUUCAGGAAAAUAAAAAAGAAAUAACAAUAAAUGAUUUAAAGUUUUAUGACUAACAUUAAAUUAUUUAUAAUAUCAAAGUUAUAUCAAAUUCUUGUACUUAUAUAUAAAUAUAACUAUGUCUAAGAAAUUAACAGGUAGUAUUUGAAAUAAAAAUUCAGUAAAUGAUUAGCUGUUUCAAACUUUCAAUUACUUUACAAGCAUUUGAUUAACCACCCUUGAUAUAUAACAAAAUUUGUUGAAAAUGAAAUUUGGAAACAUAUUAAAUCGUUAUAAUAUUACGGAAAAAAAGAUACUACUGCAUUGACAAAAUACUACUGUAAAAUUCUGGCAGGUUACACAAUUUUAGAUCGGUUAAAAAACUUGUAAGAAAAUGUAAAACAUAUAUUUAUUUAAUUUUUCAAUGACAAAUCCGAAAUAAACGUAUUAUAUUACCAAACUGUUUAGAUUACUUUAGGUUAGUGUUUAAUAAUAACAAUAAUAAUAAACGUCUGAAAUAUUAAGAAAAAGAACGAAGAACAUCUUGGUACAAGGUUUCCAAAUUUGUGAAUCCAGCAAAAGAAAAUUUAUUCAUCUAAAUUUGUUUUAUCAUCGUGCCUUGAACUUACAAAAAUACACUAUUUAUAAGUAUUAGAAUGAAUCAAAAUCAUAUCAAUUCAGAAGACGUUACAGGAACCCAUUUUCAACAUUUGAAAGACGACGCCUCGAACAUUCCUUCACAAAUUCAGCUAAAAAUGUUAUCAUCUUAGAGGUCUUUUCUGAUACUCUUUUCCAUUUUUUUUUUAAUUUUUAGAAAAAUUAACCUUUUUUACUAGUACUCACAAGAAAAGUAAGUAUUCAAUAAUUUGUAAAACAGAAACGCAUUUCCAAACAUUAGUUAAGGAAACAUUGACGUACGGUAUGUAUUAAUAAAGUUUUAAUUUAUCUACUUAAGUGAAAUAACGGACGGUUAGUUGUGAACUGGUAAUGUAAUCUGAAGACAUAAGCAGUCUUUGGGAUGUUGAAACCUAAUUAUAUCAGACUUUAUGGCAUUAAAUUAACACUUAUAGUACUGCAUUUUGUAGAAACAUUCCCUAACAGACAAAGUACGUUUAUUUUAAACACUGACAUUUACCAAGUACUUUGUAUCUGUAUAGGGAACAUCUUGAAAGAAUUUUGGUUAGAAAAAAAAACUCUCAUAAUAUACAUUGCUAAAAUAAUCAAUCAGUCAUAUUUUUUAGAAAGGUAAUACAGUUAACAUACACAAAGUGCACCAGACAAACAAUGAGGGUCUUACAGAUCGUCCUUGCUGUAGUAGUCGUCUUUGACCUUUCAGCUGUCUCUGCUAAUGAGAAUCUACAAAUUGAAGUGACAAAGGCUGAAGAGGGCGAGGAUAUUGUAACGAUAAAAGACGAAAAUGGAAAAGUCUUGUCUACAAAUGACUUUCA
rnacentral:lncRNA from 1 species